rnacentral:rRNA from 1 species
CCUCUGUGUACCAACCUUGUUGCUUUGGCGGGCCCGCGGCGUAAUGCCGCCACCGGCUCUCGCUGGUCAGUGCCCGCCAGAGGACCGUCAAACUCUUGUUCAA